GGCUCGGGGAUCCCUCACUCUUCCCUCAGCGAGCGCCCCCCGCGCGCACGCCUCGCCUCGCCUCGCCGGACUUUCUUCCUCUUGCGCUCACCUUUCGCGGCUCAUGUUGCCAGCUCAAGGUUUGCCUCCACGGCGCACGUCACCACGCCCCGCCCGCCGAGGCGCGUCAGCCAGAAACCACCGCCCCCCGGCCCGCGUUGGAAGGAGCUACCUGGACGCCCACCACCACGCCCCUCCGGGCGCGGAUUGGCUGCCUGCCCCCCGCCCCUCUGCGCUGCUUCCUGCUAUUGCUAUGGCAACUCUCUCCGUCCCGCGAAAAAGCCCGGGGAGGGGCGCAGAGAGUGGCGCAGGCGCGCGCCCCCCGACGGUCCCGUCCGGGGUUCUCCAGCCGCGCAGCGCCGUUAGCGUUGCGCCCUGCGCAGCCUCCGGGAAAGUGGGGUGGGGGUGGGGGUGGGCCUGCCAAGCUGUUCUCCCGCCUUCCGUCCGCACCGAGAGCGCGGGAACCUUUUCGGCGGCCUCACGAGCUCCCGCGUCGUUUUGCUCUGAGGGCGGGAGCGCGGGAAGGACCUGCCAAAAUUCUUCCGGCGGCGCGUCGACCGAGAGGAACGUGGCUCGAAAGACCGCCAGUCAUCCGGUCCCAGUCAUUAGCUUGGGGAAGAGGGGGGCGACGUCCCGGUUCGCGGUCUGCCAGGCUGAGGGCGUGCACACCGACCAGGAAAGGGUCAUAUACCGAAGGCUUGCAACUUGAGUGCAUCAGCAACACUGUGCACGUACCCAGUGUUUUCCAGCCAUAUACUCCAGGGCACCCUGUGCCCAGACAGAUACAAAAUGACAGGUGGGCAUGAGGAGAGAAUGCAACAAGUCAACGGCACUCUUUCUGCUCCAGAGGACUGGCACAAACAAAACUCACUUGUGCUUCCCUGGGUAGCAGAUCUUUUAAUCAGGAUCUUCUGUGCAAGUAAACAAAAUAUUGCCUCUAAGGCCCACGAAUGAAGAAAAAGCAUGAACUUCUCCCCUCACUACCAUCUCAAGGCCAAAAGGACUCCCAGCUCAGCCUGCAAGGGCAUUGCCAUGAGAGAGAGAAAUGAGCUCCUGCGCAACAAGAAGAAAUUGAGGAGACAGCCCUGUUCCUGAAGAUGCCAUGAUGAGGAAAGCUGUAGCCAUGGAAGGCAAAGGAACUCAGGAACACCUAGCAACUCUCUACUUGGAGGGACCAAGAGAAAAUUCUAAACACCAUUGGGGGCAGCUAUGCAAAUAUUAAGAAUAAGGGGAAAGUUACAGUUCUAAGGCAAAGAGGACAUGAUCUGAGCUUCUUGUGGUGAUGGAAUGUGUUGGAAAUUCCAAGGGAGCUCAGUGGAAGGAAAAGGCCAGAGGUGGGAGUAGACUGGGAAGCAGCAAAAUGUGGUUAAAGUCCAACAAGCCACAUAUUGUAAAACAAGAAAUUCUUUGCAGCUGAGGAGUAGGGAUUUUUGAAGAUAACUGAGAUGAAGGAUUCGCUUUAGUGCUGCUCUCUUUUUUUUCUAGACCAGAAGUAUCGCAGAAACCUGAUUGAUUGCCUUCCAGCCUUUUGUGAUUACGUCAUUUUGUUCUUCAGCACUGGUUCUUCAAAUAUUCUGACAGAUUCUUACAAAACUUUCACUAAUAGGCUAUUUAGAAGGAGUUGGUGGUGGUGUAGAAGGUAAUUAAUAAUUGUAAUAAUAAUAUAAGUAGUAGUUUCAUCUGCAUUAUCUUAUUACAUGGUUGUUGUAUUGAGAGCUGCCUUGAGCGUUCAGAAAUGGGAUGCCAUAAAGGUGGAUAAAUCUACUGUGUUUCAGACCAAUAAAAUAUUUAGAGGGUUAGAA